rnacentral:rRNA from 1 species
CAGUCGCCGCGGUAAUACGUAGGGUGCAAGCGUUAAUCGGAAUUACUGGGCGUAAAGCGUGCGCAGGCGGUUCGCUAAGACAGAUGUGAAAUCCCCGGGCUUAACCUGGGAACUGCAUUUGUGACUGGCGGGCUAGAGUAUGGCAGAGGGGGGUAGAAUUCCACGUGUAGCAGUGAAAUGCGUAGAGAUGUGGAGGAAUACCGAUGGCGAAGGCAGCCCCCUGGGCCAAUACUGACGCUCAUGCACGAAAGCGUGGGGAGCAAACAGGAUUAGAUACCCGAGUAGUCCCUGUCUCUUAUAC